rnacentral:rRNA from 1 species
UACAGAGGUCUCAAGCGUUAUUCGGAUUCAUUGGGCGUAAAGGGUGCGUAGGUGGGUCUGUAAGUCAGUGGUGAAAUCUCCGAGCUUAACUCGGAAACUGCCAUUGAUACUAUAGAUCUUGAAUUAUCUGGAGGUAAGCGGAAUAUGUCAUGUAGCGGUGAAAUGCUUAGAUAUGACAUAGAACACCAAUUGCGAAAGGCAGCUUACUACGGAUCGAUUGACACUGAGGCACGAAAGCGUGGGGAUCAAACAGG